AGGGUUCGAUUCUGGCUCAGGAUGAACGCUAGCUACAGGCUUAACACAUGCAAGUCGAGGGGCAGCAUAUCGAAAGCUUGCUUUGAUGAUGGCGACCGGCGCACGGGUGAGUAACGCGUAUCCAACCUUCCCUAUACUAGAGGAUAGCUCGGCGAAAGUCGGAUUAAUACUCUAUGUUCUUCGUAGAAGACAUCUGAAAUGAAGCAAAGGUUUACCGGUAUAGGAUGGGGAUGCGUCUGAUUAGGUUGUUGGCGGGGUAACGGCCCACCAAGCCCACGAUCAGUAGGGGUUCUGAGAGGAAGGUCCCCCACAUUGGAACUGAGACACGGUCCAAACUCCUACGGGAGGCAGCAGUGAGGAAUAUUGGUCAAUGGACGAGAGUCUGAACCAGCCAAGUAGCCGUGCAGGAUGACGGCCCUAUGGGUUGUAAACUGCUUUUAUACAGGGAUAAAGUGACGUACGUGUACGUUUUGUAGGUACUGUAUGAAUAAGGACCGGCUAAUUCCGUGCCAGCCGCGGC
rnacentral:rRNA from 1 species